CUGGCUCAGAAUGAACGCUGGCGGCGUGCUUAACACAUGCAAGUCGAACGAGAAAGUUCCCUUCGGGGGACAAGUAAAGUGGCGCACGGGUGAGUAACGCGUGGAUAAUCUGCCCUUGAAUUCGGAAUAACAUCGCGAAAGCGGUGCUAAUACCGGAUGAUGUUGUGUUUUCUGCGGGGAAUGCAACCAAAGAAUGCCUCUUCAUGAAAGCAUUUGUUUGAGGAUGAGUCCGCGUCCCAUUAGCUAGUUGGCGGG
rnacentral:rRNA from 1 species